rnacentral:misc_RNA from 1 species
CAAACAUUUUGCUCAGUAUCUGCAUAUAUAUGAUACUAUGAUAGUGUACUAAUAAUCCAAAACCCCGUGAAGCUUUUCUGCUCCUCAUGUGCAGACACGCCUGGUGCACACUCCCAGGCAAAGCCGGCGAUCUCCUUUCACAUUACAAUUCCAAUACACAACCCCACAAUCUGAUCACCAAUCUUGUUAAUUUGUUUUCGUUAAUUAGACAAGUAAUCAAUUUGGGGGAAAAAAAAAACACUUUGCUCAGUGUAUACAUUUUCGAACACUUCCAUCAAUCAUCAUUGAAGUAGUUGUAUAUUUUCCACGUGAAGUCCCACAAGUUCUUCUGCUACUUGCUUUACAAGUAGAUCGAGGAUUUGUCCCGCAAAAUCCAAACAGAUCUCUUCAAAGCUUUCUAAGUUGAACAAAUUCUUUCCCAGCCAAUUUGACUCCUUAAUGUCAUCCUCUGUUAACCUGGUGAGCUUUCUUGCUGCUUCUAUGUAAUACUUGGCAUCAUCGCCAGGGCUCCAUGAGCGAGUGGCUUGUGAAAAUGGAUAGUCGAAGUUAGUGGUUUUUGGUGAAGAUUUCUUCCCUGGAUUAAACUCCUGAGGACUUGCAUAAUCUGACAAAUGUGUUAAAUCAUGAAUAAGAAAUUCGUCGAGAUCGAGAACAGAGACUGGAGUUGAAUCUUCUGAACUACAAUCAGAUUGCGCGUUUUUAAUUGCAUGUUGAUUCUUAAUUUUCUUCAUGAAUUUCGAUUCGACCAAUACUUCCUUCUGAUUCAUGGGCUUCACUGGACUUUUUGCCUUGGAAAUUCCAUCCUUCUUACGAGGCGAAACAAAGCCUGAUGAAACUUGAGCUCCUUUGCAAUUACCGAAACUGGAAAUUUGUUUAUUGUUAGACACUUUCAUUGGCUCAUCCUUUAACUUGGAAAUGUUCAAGUUGUUUCGUUGAUUCUUCUCCUUCUUCUUCAUGCCUGCUCUUCCAGCUGGUGUAUUAUUGAUCACCUUGUUCUUGCUUUUCUCUUUAUUCUUCUGCUGCUUUAACUCUUCAAGACCCACUUCAGAUUUCCUUAGUUUGGAUCCUCCUUUCUUAGUUUUCUCCGUAUUAUCCAAGUAAAGAACGAAGAAAUCAUGCUGAUUUUGUUGAUUUAACAACGUAGGUACCUCACGAAAGGAGACCGAAGUCUUGACUCUGCGAUGCUGGGCUUGUGAUAAAUCAAAGUCAAGCAAGUAAUCCAUAAAAUUCACUGACCUACUCCGAGUGACUGAAUCUGGGGUUCUUCCUUUUGGAACCCAGUUGGUAUCGGGCAGCGAAUCUAACCCCAUUAACCUUGCCACCACUCCCGGGGCAGCAGCAGCAGCAGGAGCAGUAGCAGUAGUAGUUCCAUUUUCAAGCUUGAUAUUGACUUCAUUCUUUUGAUAUUUAUUUACACGAUCAAAUUCAGCUGUGUUGGGGUAAGUAAUCUGAUCAGAUGGGUGUGUUUGGAGGCUGCCUUUGCAUAGAAGCAGGCGAGCAAUGCCUGAAAGACACCCAGAACCAGAACCUGCCGCACUAUUAGAAAUGGUCAUAGUUUGGUUGAACUCAAUGAGAGGAGAAGAGAAAGAUAGGCUUAUGACAUAAUAAUUAUGGUAGACAAGGGUUAAAAAUGGUUAAAGGGGGAGAAAAACACAGAGAGAGAGAGAGAGAG